UCGGCGGGGCACGUGUGAAGUUUCGCGCGCUCUUUUUUAUAUCUUUGAGAAAGCAGGCGGGAGAGAGCGGAGAGGAGGGUUGGGAAGGUCCAACGACUCCAACGGCUCGCCGGGAUGGACAGUGCGGUGCGGCCGGCAGACUGAAUGCGUGGACCGGUGGGUGGCCGUCGACCAGCGAGGACAGUACUGUCGUGGUGCAGCCCCUGCGACGGUCGCCCGCCAGGUUUCCUUGGGCCGGUCUGUUGCGCUCAGCAGCACGACCAACGAUUGGAGGAAACCACGGUGUGAUAGCAUCCACAACCGGAGGGUACAAAUCCGGGCCGCGGAGAUGAUGUUACGAAGGACCCAAUAUUUGUUCGUGGGUACCUGCAACAUGUAUCUUCCGAUGCAGUAGAAAUGCCUUUCAGUCCAAUUUUGCUAUGAAAAAUCCAGCCAUCAGUGCUUUUGCGGAGAUGUGCUGCGGAAGAAUCCAAAUUCUUGGAGCGAUUUGAAUAUCUCUACAACUUUUGACCUUCCUCCACUGAAUGAUUAUAACAUGCGGAGAGCUAUAUAUGCCGAUCGCCAAUCUGCUGGAACUAGCACCUGUGGCGAUACGCAACCUGACAAUCUUUUUCCAGAGUAGGUGGGACUGAUUUUAAGUUCGGUUCUUGGUUUGAUGAUUUGGAAAAUAUUCGCCAAGAGGAUGAUACAAGGACCCUUGAGGAACUUCUAUGCAUUUCCAACUCUUCUUUCUUGUGCAAAUAAAAAGGCCCUGUUGUCGGAGAUUUUACCUUUGUCAGAAAGAUAGUACACUCGCAUCAAGAGUUCUAAAGUUUAUGCAGAGCACGUGUUUGAAAAAACCCCUUCAUCCGGUGGGUAUUAUACAAGAAUGACUUUCUAAAUGUACAAAGAAACAGCUUUCUAAAUGUACAAAGAAACAGGUGGAUCACACUGGCAAGCAAAUCAUGUGCAAGCUAAAGUUUGCGUCAUUUUGUUGGACCAGGUCAUGUGAUUCUUACUGAUAGUCAAGCGUGCAAAGUAAGAAACCCGAAAGUGGAUGUCGAAGGUAAGCUGGCAUCAAAUCAUCUCGUGCUACAUAUUUUUUGCAAUCCCCGUAGUGUUUAAUGUUGGAUAGUUGGAUCUGCUCUAUCUUGUCGGCGUGUGAGCUUCACUCUGAUGUAUCAACCCUUUUCUUUGGCAAGGCAGAGGCAGCACGACGCAUAAUUUUAAAGAACACUUAAUAGUAAGGCAGAAGCUCCAGCAUUUUGUCGAUGCAUUUCAUCAAUAUGUCAUGGACCGAGUGAGUUGAGAUGGGUUUGACUCAUUUCAUUGUAAGAAACUAUGACUGUCUCAACUUGAACUUGCUUCUUUCUUAGCAGGUGUAUCAUAGAGUGUGGACAGAGCUUUGUGAUGGCAUGGCAUCUGCUACUACAUUGCAUGAAGUCAUGGAAGUUCAUGAGGCAUAUCUUUCUUCUACUCGUAGACAAUGCUUUGUGGCAUAGCAUCGUCCUUUUGGGAGAUUUUCUAAAUCCAUUUGGUAACAAAGGCUCGCAAAUUUGGAAUGGGAUCCAAAAAUGUAAAGCAAGUUUCAAUCUGGGCGUGAAAUUCUCUAUCGGAGACGGUAAGGACACCAAUUUAGGCUCUCCGUGUGGAAUGCGAACAAACCUCUUUGCGCAUUACAUCCGAGCUUGUUUGACAUUGUGGCUCAUCCUGAGGCUAUGGCAUGCAACAUUUUUGCUACAGGGGUAGCUAGUGGGUUUUCUUCGA